AACCUGGUUAGGUGGUCUGCCUUACGGUACGUACUGCUCGGCCGGGUUCUACCUCUUGGUGAGCCGGCAUGUCCUUCACUGGGUGUGUCGGGGAACCAGGACUUUUACCUUGAGAAAAUUAGAGUGUUCAAAGCAGGCUUAUGUCUGAAUACAUUAGCAUGGAAUAAUAGAAUAGGACGG
rnacentral:rRNA from 1 species